UCCUGCCUACCUGCAGUCGAACGGCAGCACGGGUGCUUGCACCUGGUGGCGAGUGGCGAACGGGUGAGUAAUACAUCGGAACAUGUCCUGUAGUGGGGGAUAGCCCGGCGAAAGCCGGAUUAAUACCGCAUACAAUCCACGGAUGAAAGCGGGGGACCUUCCGGCCUCUCGCUAUAGGGUUGGCCGAUGGCUGAUUAGCUAGUUGGUGGGGUAAAGGCCUACCAAGGCAACCAUCACUAGCUGGUCUGAAAGGACGACCACCCACACUGGGACUGAGACACGGCCCACACUCCUACGGGAGGCAGCAGUGGGGAAUUUUGGACAAUGGGCGAAAGCCUGAUCCAUCCAUGCCGCGUGUGUGAAGAAGGCCUUCGGGUUGUAAAGCACUUUUGUCCGGAAAGAAAUCCGUGGCUCUAAUACAGUCGGGGGAUGACGGUACCGGAAAAAUAAGCACCGGCUAACUACCUGCCAGCACCCGCGGUAAUACGUAGGGUGCAAGCGUUAAUCGGAAUUACUGGGCGUAAAGCGUGCGCAGGCGGUUUGCUAAGACCGAUGUGAAAUCCCCGGGCUCAACCUGGGAACUGCAUUGGUGACUGGCUGGCUAGAGUAUGGCAGAGGGGGGUAGAAUUCCACGUGUAGCAGUGAAAUGCGUAUAGAUAUGGAGGAAUACCGAUGGCGAAGGCAGCCCCCCUGGGCCAAUACUGACGCUCAUGCACGAGAGCGUGGGGAGCAAACAAGAUUAGAUACCCUGGUAGUCCACGCCCUAACGAUGUCAACUAGUUGGUUGGGGGAUUCAUUUCCUUAGUAACGUAACUAACGCAUGAAGAUGACCUGCCUGGGGGCGGUACGUCGCAUGAUAAUAACUCGAGUGACUGACGGGCGAGCCCGCACCAGCCGGAUGCGAUGGAUGUGGAU
rnacentral:rRNA from 1 species